rnacentral:tRNA from 1 species
GCGCCAGUGGUUUAGUGGUAAAAUCCAUCGUUGCCAUCAACGAGUCUCAGCAACUCCUCGAUCUCGAUGGGCCCCGCGUUCGAUUCGCGGCUGGCGCA